rnacentral:rRNA from 1 species
GGUUCCCCUUCGGGGGACAGGGUGACAGGUGGUGCAUGGUUGUCGUCAGCUCGUGUCGUGAGAUGUUGGGUUAAGUCCCGCAACGAGCGCAACCCUCGACCUUAGUUGCCAGCAUUCAGUUGGGCACUCUAAGGUGACUGCCGGCUAAAAGUCGGAGGAAGGUGGGGAUGACGUCAAAUCAUCAUGCCCCUUAUGACCUGGGCUACACACGUGCUACAAUGGGCGGUACAAAGGGUCGCGAACCCGCGAGGGGGAGCCAAUCCCAAAAAGCCGCUCUCAGUUCGGAUUGCAGGCUGCAACUCGCCUGCAUGAAGCCGGAAUCGCUAGUAAUCGCCGGAUUCCAGGCAUCGCCGGCGGUGAAUACGUUCCGGGCCUU